rnacentral:rRNA from 1 species
UACAGAGGUCUCAAGCGUUGUUCGGAUUCAUUGGGCGUAAAGGGUGCGUAGGUGGCGCGCUAAGUCAGGUGUGAAAUUUCGGAGCUUAACUCCGAAACUGCAUUUGAUACUGGCGUGCUUGAGGACUGGAGAGGAGACUGGAAUUCAUGGUGUAGCAGUGAAAAUGCGUAGAGAUCAUGAGGAAGACCAGUGGCGAAGGCGGGUCUCUGGACAGUUCCUGACACUGAGGCACGAAGGCCAGGGGAGCAAACGGG